UACGUAGGAGGCGAGCGUUGUCCGGAUUUACUGGGCGUAAAGGGCGAGUAGGCGGCCGGUCAAGUCCUGUGUGAAAUCUCCCGGCUCAACUGGGAGAGGUCACAGGAAACUGGUCGGCUUGAGGACAGCAGAGGAAAGCGGAAUUCCCGGAGUAGCGGUGAAAUGCGUAGAUACCGGGAGGAACACCAGAGGCGAAGGCGGCUUUCUAGGCUGAUCCUGACGCUGAGGCGCGAAAGCGUGGGGAGCGAACCGG
rnacentral:misc_RNA from 1 species